rnacentral:rRNA from 1 species
GAUCAUGGCUCAGGAUGAGCGCUAGCGACAGGCUUAACACAUGCAAGUCGAGGGGCAGCACGGGAGUAGCAAUACGUUGGUGGCCGACCGGCGCACGGGUGAGUAACGCGUAUGCAACCUACCUAUCGAGGGGGGAAUAACCCGGCGAAAGUCGGACUAAUACCGCAUAAACAGGGGCACCGCAUGGUGAUAUUUGUUAAAGAAAUUCGCUGAUAGAUGGGCAUGCGUUCCAUUAGGUAGUUGGUGAGGUAACGGCUCACCAAGCCGACGAUGGAUAGGGGAACUGAGAGGUUGGUCCCCCACACUGGUACUGAGACACGGACCAGACUCCUACGGGAGGCAGCAGUGAGGAAUAUUGGUCAAUGGGCGGGAGCCUGAACCAGCCAAGUCGCCGUGAAGGAAGAAGGAUCUAUGGUUCGUAAACUUCUUUUGCAGGGGAAUAAAGUGCAGGACGUGUCCUGUUUUGUAUGUACCCUGAGAAUAAGGAUCGGCUAACUCCGUGCCAGCCGCGGC